UAGUAGCACUCUCCAAUGGUCAAUUUUACCGCGAUAAAGUUUAAGUCCAAAACCGAGCGUAUGCUUUGCAUAUGCAAGUGAAAAAUCAACUAUUUAUUGGCGGUAAGUGGAUUGAUACUAAUAAAAAAUUAGAUGUUAUUAAUCCUGCAGAUGAAACAUUAAUUACUCAAGUUUCACUAUCAGCUGAUAAAGAACAUGAAUUCGCAUUAGAAAGUGCCCACCAAGCAUUUCAAAGCUGGAGUAAAACUGCCCCAUCAGAUGUCGACGGUAGGGUAUUGGCCUACCGUGUCUGUCACGGGUGACGGAGAAUCAGGGUUCGAUUCCGGAGAGGGGGCCUUAGAGACGGCCACCACAUCCAAGGAAGGCAGCAGGCGCGUAAACUACUCAAUGCCGACUCGGCGAAGUGGUAACGAAGAAUAAGCAAGAGGAGCCCUUCGGGUUUCUCAUUGCGAAUGAGAGCAAUCUAAAAACCUCAUCGAGGAUCAAUUGGAGGGCAAGUCUGGUGCCAGCAGCCGCGGUAAUUCCAGCUCCAAUAGCGUGUACUAAAGUUGUUGCAGUUAAAAAGCUCGUAGUUGAACUUCUGGUAGGAGUGACCCGGCCCUGGACGCAAGUCCUUGUUUGCUGUGUGUUAUCUCUGGCCAUCCUUCGUAUCGCAAGAUACGAUCUUUCACUGUAAAUAAAGUUGAUCGCUUCAAGAAGAAGUUUCUUCGGAAAAUGUUAGUAUGGGAUGAUAAGAUAGGCUCAGGGUGCUAUUUUGUUGGUUUGCACAUCUUGAGAAUGAUUAAUAGGGACAGUUGGGGGUAUUCGUAUUUACAUGUCAGAGGUGAAAUUCUUGGAUUUUGGAAAGACGAACAACUGCGAAGGCAUUUACCAAGGAUGUUUUCAUUAAUCAAGAACGAAAGUUAGGGGAUCGAAGAUGAUUAGAUACCAUCGUAGUCUUAACCGUAAACUAUGCCGACUUGCGAUUGUCCGAUGUUGUAAAAUGACGCGGGCAGCAGCACAUGAGAAAUCAAAGUUUUUGGGUUCCGGGGGGAGUAUGGUCGCAAGGCUGAAACUUAAAGGAAUUGACGGAAGGGCACCACCAGGCGUGGAGCCUGCGGCUUAAUUUGACUCAACACGGAGAAACUUACCAGGUCCAGACAUAG
rnacentral:rRNA from 1 species